rnacentral:lncRNA from 1 species
GGACUUUUGGUAUAGCAUUGGAAAUGUAAAUGAGCUAAAUACCUAAUAAAAAAUGGAAAAAAAGAAUAAAGCUGUUAUGAACAUAGUUGAGGAAUUGUCUUUGUGGAAUGGUGGAACACCUUUUGAAUAUGUUCCCAGGAGUGAUAUAGCUGGGUCUUGAGGUAGAACUGUUUCUAGUUUUCUGAGAAACUGCCAAAUUGAUUUCCAAAGUGGUUGUUUGCACUUCCACCAACAAUGAGGAAGUGUUCCAUUUGCUCCACAUCCUCUGUUCAUGGCUUUUUAAUGUAGUUUAUGGAGACCAAAAUUGGGUCCAUAUGUUUGCAGAACAAAUACUUUACUGUUAAAGCUAUAAAACUAUGUGGCAUGCUUAGGGCAUCAGGAUAACAUCAGCACAAUCUCAACUUAGUAUAGAUCAUGAUUUCGAUAACAUUCAUGAGUCCCAAGAGUAGCUCUGGGGUGUCUAAAUGUGCUCUUCAUUAUUUGAGAAGUCAUGGAUGCAGUGAUUGUUACAUGGUAACUUCAAGAAGAUUGAAAUCAAAAUGGAAGUACUGCCCAAGGAGUGGUUUACAGUAAAGGAUUCUUAGAGAAUAGUAGCAAAUGAUGAGAUGCAAAAGUAGAUCCUUAUUAGACCUGUUUUGCAUGCUUAUAAAAUUGUUGUUUUCUCCAUAUAUAAAGUAUAAAGCAGCAUUUUGGUAUUGUCUUAGCACAAAGUUGACAAACUGGGCUUUGAUUGGUAAUGAUACCACUUCUUAACUCCUUAAAGUCACUUAUGCUUGAGGCAUACUAUAAAUCUUCCAAAUAUCAACAUCUAGAAGAUGGAGCCCAUUUAACAACCUCUCCUUAUAAGAAAACUUAAUGUAAUAUAGAAUAUAUACACAGUUGCUGAUAUUCAUUCUUUAUUAAAUGAAUGGUGAUAAAACUUAUUUUGAAAACUGUUUAAAAAAAACACCAACUACCUGUGCUGUUAUCCCUGAAAUUAAACAGCAGACCUUCUCAGCUCUUGUUAAUUAUAAGAAGAAUCAUAUAUAAACCCAUAAUUCAAAGAAGACUUUGCUAAGUGUCACAUAAUCAUUCAUAAUAACAUGACAUGUAGAUAUUAGGCAAAAUGGAUAAGAGCAAAUGUGACUACUGUGGCAAAAGCCAACAAAUAAUAACUUAGGAGAAGUAGGAUAUUGUCUUGUAUUAGCCCUUUGUAUAAGUCUUCUGUUUAUUGACCCAGGAUAACAAAAUGUCCAGUGGCUUAUAAUGACAAUUUAUAAAUGGCUCUCAAAUUUAUUAGUUUGGUUGACUCAGUUCAGUUGAACAGUUAAUAUAUUGUGUCUUAAGCAUAUUUCAGUCUGGUUGUAGCUAAAGUUGGAAUUCUAUCAACGUUUGACCAGGCUGGAUUUCCAAGUGCUUCCUGGUUCACACACCUUCAGCUGUUUCUCUAAAUGUGCAAAAUCUCAUCCCUAGAACCUCUUUGUAUAAUUUAGACACCUUUGUGUAGUAGUAUCAAGUACCGUUAGCUCUUUGUAGCAAGUACUUGGCUUCUAAGAGAAAGGAAAUAGACUCUCAACAGUCUUCUGAAGUUGGCCCUGCUUCAACACUACAUAACUCUUCUAGUCAGUAAAAUUACAAGUUCAAUCUUGGCUCAAGGUGGGAGUGUCUGUAAGAAGGAAUAUCGGGAAAUAUGAUUUGCAUUGAGACUAUCUUUUGAUACUAGCAGCUACAAAUCUCUGGAAGUCUCUGUAGAAUGUUAGGUUUGGCUAACUGAUCUCUAAAGCAUUCUGUAAUAUGGCUUUUUCUUUCAAUGAUCCAGUAAAGAUCCUUCUAUAAUUUGUAAAUUACCACAACCAAUAAAAUAUAUUUUAACUAAACAACAUUGCUUUUUCUUUUCCUAUAGCAGCAUGCUUUUAUUUAGUCACAAGUUUGGGCUAUUGAAGAAGACAAAUUGUAGAAAUUUUUCUUUCAAGUUUUAAAGCUACCAGUAUCUCUCAGAAACAGAAGUGAUGUCACUUACAUUGAUGAACUACUUUGCUGUCAUUUCCUCUGCACAAUCGAUAUACACAAUGCCCUCAACCAAAGCACAGCCUCAGAAUGCUGGGCCAUAACCUUUGAUAGGGUUAUAAAAUCAGUAAUGACUUAUAGCUUCAUUUAAGUGGAAUUUGGUGAGGGUGAGAUUUUAUAUCUCAAUUAGAUCCUUAUUCCCUAAAAGCACAAUGGUUUCAUUCUAACCCAGGACUGUGAAGUGCAAGGUUCUGUGGAGAUACACAGUGCCUUCUGGAAAAAUCAUUUGAAUGGAAGUAAAUGCAGAUAUUUCUUUUUCUUUCUUCUUCUUCUUUCUUUUUAC